ACGGAAGGCAGCAGUGGGGAAUAUUGGACAAUGGGGGAAACCCUGAUCCAGCGACGCCGCGUGAGUGAAGAAGUAUUUCGGUAUGUAAAGCUCUAUCAGCAAGGGAGAAAAUGACGGUACUUGACUAAGAAGCUCCGGCUAAAUACGUGCCAGCAGCCGCGGUAAUACGUAUGGAGGAAGCGUUAUCCGGAUUUACUGGGUGUAAAGGGAGCGUAGACGGCAAAGCAAGUCUGAAGUGAAAUCCCGGGGCUCAACCCCGGAACUGCUUUGGAAGCUGUUUAGCUAGAGUGCAGGAGAGGUAAGCGGAAUUCCUAGUGUAGCGGUGAAAUGCGUAGAUAUUAGGAGGAACACCAGUGGCGAAGGCGGCUUACUGGACUGUAACUGACGUUGAGGCUCGAAAGCGUGGGGAGCAAACAGGAUUAGAUACCCUGGUA
rnacentral:rRNA from 1 species